AAGGAGUUUAUCGUGUGCGCAAGUUUUUGGGUGUUAAAAACUUAAAAGCGAAAUGAAAGUAAAUGACUCUUUAGAGUCUGAUGUGCGAUCUUGUAAAAAAGUGUAGCAUGGCCCCAUUCUAACUGUUUACAGUAGGGUGGCGGAAGAGCGUACGCGGUGAGACCCGAAAGAUGGUGAACUAUUCCUGAGCAGGACGAAGCCAGAGGAAACUCUGGUGGAAGUCCGAAGCGGUUCUGACGUGCAAAUCGAUCGUCU
rnacentral:rRNA from 3 species